rnacentral:rRNA from 1 species
AUGGACGAAAGUCUGACCGAGCAACGCCGCGUGAGUGAAGAAGGUUUUCGGAUCGUAAAGCUCUGUUGUAAGUCAAGAACGUGUGUGAGAGUGGAAAGUUCACACAGUGACGGUAGCUUACCAGAAAGGGACGGCUAACUACGUGCCAGCAGCCGCGGUAAUACGUAGGUCCCGAGCGUUGUCCGGAUUUAUUGGGCGUAAAGGGAGCGCAGGCGGUCAGGAAAGUCUGGAGUAAAAGGCUAUGGCUCAACCAUAGUGUGCUCUGGAAACUGUCUGACUUGAGUGCAGAAGGGGAGAGUGGAAUUCCAUGUGUAGCGGUGAAAUGCGUAGAUAUAUGGAGGAACACCAGUGGCGAAAGCGGCUCUCUGGUCUGUCACUGACGCUGAGGCUCGAAAGCGUGGGUAGCGAACAGGAUUAGAUACCCUGGUAGUCCACGCCGUAAACGAUGAGUGCUAGGUGUUAGGCCCUUUCCGGGGCUUAGUGCCGGAGCUAACGCAAUAAGCAUUCCGCCUGGGGAGUACGACCGCAAGGUUGAAACUCAAAGGAAUUGACGGGGGCCCGCACAAGCGGUGGAGCAUGUGGUUUAAUUCGAAGCCACGCGAAGAACCUUACCAGGUCUUGACAUUCCGAUGCUAUUCUUAGAGAUAGGAAGUUACUUCGGUACA